rnacentral:rRNA from 1 species
GAUGAACGCUGGCGGCGUGCCUAACACAUGCAAGUCGAACGGAGUCCAGCCUUUAAGACCUUCGGGUCAAAGAGGGGAAGACUGAGUGGCGGACGGGUGAGUAACACGUGGGCAACCUGGCUCAUAGAGGGGGAUAACAGAGAGAAAUUUCUGCUAAUACCGCAUAAGCACACACUGCCGCAUGGCAGAGGGUGAAAAGAGAAUCGCUAUGAGAUGGACUCGCGUCUGAUUAGCCAGUUGGCAGGGUAAGAGCCUACCAAAGCGACGAUCAGUAGCCGAUCUGAGAGGAUGAACGGCCACAUUGGGACUGAGACACGGCCCAAACUCCUACGGGAGGCAGCAGUGGGGGAUAUUGCACAAUGGGGGGAACCCUGAUGCAGCGACGCCGCGUGAGUGAAGAAGUAUUUCGGUAUGUAAAGCUCUAUCAGCAGGGAAGAUAAUGACAGUACCUGAAGAAGAAGCCCCGGCUAACUACGUG